CCCUAACUUGUUGUCGGUCAAAACUAUUUUCGGGUUAGGGAGGGGUAGGUGCGCAGUUACUCAGACACUAACAUUGAUCCAAAAUGACUUAUGUAAUCUAUGUCUUUCAAACUAUGGUGUCUGAGUGCACAUAUCAAAAAUGGGGAACAAUCAAUUGAGUUAUUGUAACGUAGUGAAGCCAAAAAGGCACGCCUUAAAAGCUCAAAAACAUACACUUUAUUCCAAGCACACGAAGUACAUCACUCCUUACUUUCCCGCUCUCGCAACACUUUUUAAGUUCCCGGAUAUAUUUGCGAACUACCACUGUCCUAAUACACUACCGUUAUGGCUGAGAAAGAGGGAGGCUUUUUUUAAAACAAAUUCAAGACACCUGGUUUUCAAGAAGACUGGAAAGAUUGUCACACACCUUAACUGAAGCUGUGGCUACUUGAGUACCUUGUUGGUUGACAGCUAGACAUGCAAGUUCACCUUGAUGGGCAUUAAUUGUAAAUGGUGCUGUUGAAGUAUCUGGUUGUCUAUUGGUCAGGUCCUGUGAAGCAAAACAAAGAACAUGGAGUAGCUUGAGCUAUGUACAUUUUUGAAUGAAAAAAAAAAGUGAUUGUGGUAACUUACCUAAAUUAGUUGACAAUUUGAGCAAACUCAGUUAUAAUUUAGACUCAAUGCAGAUGAUAGAUGGAAGUAAAUGGACAAACUCACUUGGGUUCGGUAGCUUUAUUCAAUUAUGACAAAUUAAGUUUUUCUAAGUUAGACUCCAUUUACACCAAAGGUUAAACAUGUUUUAAAGCUGUUUUGUUACAUAUGGUUUUAAAUUGGUUUCUUCCUAUAAGCUGUUUAAACUGAUGUUUGUCUACUUCAAAUUUAGCAAAUUGAACAUACAUGUUAGAGAAUACUUAAAACCUAUGGAAGUUCAGUUUAUCAGUUCUCUCUUUCUGGUUUUUAUAAAUCUGGUCUUACUACACAUGUUUGUUAGUGUGAAUGGGGUAUUAGUUUCAGCAGAUCAAUUAGCAUGUACUUUACAUUGGAUUCUCAUAGAUUUAAUUCAUGCUUAAAGUAUUACAUUAUGUUAGUGCAGUGUGAAACUACAGUAAUUUAUGUAACAUCAAGAGUUUCAAUAAACUUUUCACAGGUGA